rnacentral:rRNA from 1 species
GGAUCAGGAAGGAAUACGCGCUGAACUUAAGCAUAUCUAGGCGGAAGA